AUGUGGACGAAGUUGGGGUUGGAAUAUUUGGCCUAGCAUGCUCUAACGCCUGUUUAUAAGCAUUAUAAACAGUUUGAGCAUUCACUUUAAUUGAUGUUUGCGCAUCAGAUAGUGUAGCCAUUUCUUCUUCAUCAAGAUAUAAAGCUUGAUAAAUACUAGAAUACCAAAAGUGAGGUCCUCCAAAUUUCAUAGUAGGAUUUAGCAUACCAGACACACCAUAUAUAGGAGGGAUUGGAAAAAAA
rnacentral:lncRNA from 1 species